GCGGAGCUGCGGGGUGCGUCAGGAGCCUUAUCCCCGGGGCCUUAUCGAUCUCGAAGGGAGCUGUCCCUGACCGGGCCCGUGGGCUCGGACAUACGGCGCCCACCUACUUUCGUAGGGAACCCGGGAUCGCGUGCUCCAACGGCCAUUGCGGCUCCGCG
rnacentral:other from 1 species